UGCCAGCCGCCGCGGUAAUACGAAGGGACCUAGCGUAGUUCGGAAUUACUGGGCUUAAAGAGUUCGUAGGUGGUUGAAAAAGUUGGUGGUGAAAUCCCAGAGCUUAACUCUGGAACUGCCAUCAAAACUUUUCAGCUAGAGUAUGAUAGAGGAAAGCAGAAUUUCUAGUGUAGAGGUGAAAUUCGUAGAUAUUAGAAAGAAUACCAAUUGCGAAGGCAGCUUUCUGGAUCAUUACUGUCACUAUAUCACGAAAGCGUGGGGAGCAAAAAGGAUUAGAUA
rnacentral:rRNA from 1 species